rnacentral:rRNA from 1 species
UACAGAGGUGGCAAGCGUUGUUCGGAAUUACUGGGCGUAAAGGGCGCGUAGGCGGCCAUCUAAGUCAGACGUGAAAUCCCCCGGCUUAACCUGGGAACUGCGUUUGAAACUGGAAGGCUAGAGUGUGGCAGAGGGGGGUGGAAUUCCACGUGUAGCAGUGAAAUGCGUAGAUAUGUGGAGGAACACCGAUGGCGAAGGCAGCCUCCUGGGCCAGCACUGACGCUCAUGCACGAAAGCGUGGGGAGCAAACAGG